rnacentral:rRNA from 1 species
AUUGAACGCUGGCGGCAGGCCUAACACAUGCAAGUCGAGCGGAGCGGCGGACGGGUGAGUAAUGCCUAGGAAUCUGCCUGGUAGUGGGGGAUAACGUCCGGAAACGGGCGCUAAUACCGCAUACUAUCAGAUGAGCCUAGGUCGGAUUAGCUAGUUGGUGGGGGAAAGGCCUACCAAGGCGACGAUCCGUAACUGGUCUGAGAGGAUGAUCAGUCCAACUGGAACUGAGACACGGUCCAGACGCCUACGGGAGGCAGCAGUGUGGAAUAUGGGAGAAUGUGCGAAAGCCUGAGCCAGCCAUGUAGCGUGUGUGAAGAAGGUCUUCGGAUUGUAAAGCACUUUAAGUUGGGAGGCGUUACCAACAGAAGAAGCACCGGCUAACGUCGUGCCAGCAGCCGCGGUAUUC